rnacentral:rRNA from 1 species
GCGGGCUGGAACCUCUCGGGGUUACAGCCUUGCUGAAUUAUUCACCCUUGUCUUUUGCGUACUUCUUGUUUCCUUGGUGGGUUCGCCCACCACUAGGACAAACAUAAACCUUUUGUAAUUGCAAUCAGCGUCAGUAACAAAUUAAUAAUUACAACUUUCAACAACGGAUCUCUUGGUUCUGGCAUCGAUGAAGAACGCAGCGAAAUGCGAUAAGUAGUGUGAAUUGCAGAAUUCAGUGAAUCAUCGAAUCUUUGAACGCACAUUGCGCCCUUUGGUAUUCCAAAGGGCAUGCCUGUUCGAGCGUCAUUUGUACCCUCAAGCUUUGCUUGGUGUUGGGCGUCUUGUCUCUAGCUUUGCUGGAGACUCGCCUUAAAGUAAUUGGCAGCCGGCCUACUGGUUUCGGAGCGCAGCACAAGUCGCACUCUCUAUCAGCAAAGGUCUAGCAUCCAUUAAGCCUUUUUUUCAACUUUUGACCUCGAAUCAGGUAGGGAUACCCGCUGAACUUAAGCAUAUCAAUAAGCGAGGAAA